AUGACUCUCGGCAACGGAUAUCUCGGCUCUUACAUCGAUGAAGAACGUAGCAAAAUGCGAUACUUGGUGUGAAUUGCAGAAUCCCGUGAACCAUCGAGUCUUUGAACGCAAGUUGCGCCCGAAUCCAUCUGGUUGAGGGCACGUCUGCCUGGGUGUCACG
rnacentral:rRNA from 2 species